UACAGAGGGUGCGAGCGUUAAUCGGAAUUACUGGGCGUAAAGCGUGCGUAGACGGCUAUCUAAGUCGGGUGUGAAAGCCCCGGGCUCAACCUGGGAAUUGCAUUCGAGACUGAAUAGCUAGGGUGCGGUAGAGGGAAGCGGAAUUUCCGGUGUAGCGGUGAAAUGCGUAGAUAUCGGAAGGAACAUCAGUGGCGAAAGCGGCUUCCUGGACCAGCACCGACGUCAGGCACGAAGCGUGGGGAGCAAACAGGAAUUGAGAUA
rnacentral:rRNA from 1 species